rnacentral:rRNA from 1 species
UACGUAGGGUGCAAGCGUUGUCCGGAAUUAUUGGGCGUAAAGAGCUUGUAGGCGGUCCGGUAAGUCCGCUGUGAAAGUCGGGGGCUCAACCCUCGGAUGCCGGUGGAUACUGUCGGGCUUGAGUACGGAAGAGGCGAGUGGAAUUCCUGGUGUAGCGGUGAAAUGCGCAGAUAUCAGGAGGAACACCAAUUGCGAAGGCAGCUCGCUGGGACGUUACUGACGCUGAGACGCGAAAGCGUGGGGAGCAAACAGG